AAAAAAAAAAGGGAGGCAUGGUGGAGGCUAAGACUGAACUCUUGGGCCACAUUUUAUAGGAAAUUACAGGCAUUUUUAUAGAUGUGUGGGCUUUAAAUCCAGGAAGUAUAACAUGUGAAAUCCUAAGCCUUGCCAACUUUUGCCAAGAUGGGUCUCAUUCUAUUAUUGCUGUCCUCAUAAUGGGGUGAUUUCCAUUCCGUGGAAACCAACUGAUGCCAGCAGGAGAGGAGUGACACCAAUUCAGGGAUGGUGAGGACCAGCUAAGAGCAUAAGAAGGCCUGGCUUUCCCACCUGCCCAAGGAAGGGUUUGGACUAGAUUCACUUGAAAAUCUGCGGGAGUGAAAAUCCAUAGUGUGAAAGGCACUGUGCCAGCCAGGCACUAAAGAGGGCAGAAAUGGUCAAACCAGGACCGAGUCAGCCAGGGCUUUCCUAUGUAAGAAUACCACCCAUGCGGUGUAUGAAACAAUGGAGAAAAAGCAACACGGCGUAGAGAUGCGGGGGGAUCCACCUCAGUCCCCAUCCAGCUUCACGGAGAGCGCUGUACAAGCACAGCCGGAGCCUGCAUAGAUACUCCAGCGAGGCAGGUGCCUGGGGGCAGCUCUGAGUCAGCCAUCUAGACUGUGCCUUGCCCUGCCUCCUUCGGGGGCUUGCAGCACUGUGGGGGCUCAGGGAGGGAGAAUCCUGACUGAUACAAUUCCUGGCAACCAAAAUCCAGUGGUCUCUGCUGAAGGUCUCAGUGCCCACGAGACCAGUAGCUAGGCUCCACUGCCAGGUGACGCUGACAGCAGGGAGGCUGAAGAGAGGAGGCGGAGGGAAGAAGGAAGAGCCAAAGGCAAGACUGGUGGGAAUUAGGAGGGCCUGAGACUUAAAGCUAUGAAUGACCUGGCCCUCUUUUCCUUGGAGCCCUGCAGGAACAAAGUUAACAUGCUAGGGACCAAAUGCCACAUGCCACUAAGGCCCUGGAAAAUGGAUUCUGUUGGCAAAUACUGUUUGAGGGUCAGGCAAAUAAGACCCAGUGUUUGUCUUCAAGGAACCCUCUGCCCAGUGGACUCAUAGCAAAUGAAUUCUUAAGAGCACCAGUGGUAAACCAGCAAGAAAUGCAAUUUGUUCUCUGGUGCUACCCAAGAUGGAAAAUGGCUGUAGCCAACUGAUGAGGCAUUCUUCCAAAAUGAUAAGCUGUAUUUCUACUCAGGGUAACUCCGUCAGAUUCAUUGCUUUGACUGCAUACUGUCCUACGUUUAGAAACGCUGUGGUCUAAAUCCUGUCCUCAGUCAAGGUGUGACACGCGUGAGGUAGGUGGCGAUUACGGCCCAAGAAAGCUCAGUGCUGGAUCGAUACACUCAACACUGUGAUAAUCUUUAGUUGGUUGGUAUUUGCAGAAUGCAUUAAACAAAUUAAAGGAGGGUAAGAAAUG